UUUAUUUGGAACAAAGGACCAGCCAGAAUUCGUAGAGAAAUACUUCAGAAACCAAAGCUUGAAGGGGGGCUUGCUCUUCCUAAUUUCCUGUUUUACUAUUGGGCAGCAAAUAUACAUUCUACAUUAUUCUGGUUCCAAAGUCAUUUUGGGCUCAGUGAUUGGGUCCCGUCUUGGGUCAGUAUUGAAGAGGGUUCCUGUUUUCCUGCCUCACCUGCCGCACUAUUGUGUGGCCCUCUUACUACCAUCUCGCGCUGUCCUUAUGGUAAUUCCAUUGUCCGGCAAUCAUUACAAAUUUGGUCCCAAUUCCGAACCCAUUUUGGUCUUCAGCGCUUACCAUUGGUUUCACCUAUAAACCGCAACCCCUUAUUCCCCCCUUCACUUAAUGACAAAGCAUUUAAUAUUUGGCAGAGAACAGGGAUUUCAGUUGUCAAUGAUAUUUACAUUGAUAAAAUUUUUCCCUGUUUUACUCAAUUGAAACAAACAUUCUCUCUCCAUAGUGCACAAUUUUUUAGAUAUUUGCAACUUCGAAAUUUUGUUAAAAACUCAUUCCCUGAUUUUCCAAAUCUUCCCCCAAAAUCUACGCACGACCAAAUUCUUGAAGUAGCCUUAAAUAAAAGAGGUGUGUUGUCUACACUAUACAAGCUAAUUUCCUCCAUUUCCACUUCCUCUCUCUCUUUUAUUAAACAACCAUGGGAGUCGGAUCUUUGCCUUACAUUUGAUGAUGAGACUUGGAACAAGAAUCUGUCCCGUGUUCAUACCUCCUCUAUUUGUGCACGUCAUAGUCUUAUACAGUUAAAAAUUAUUCACCGAACUUACUGGACAAAAGUGAGGUUGGCAAAAAUCAAGCCUGGUAUUGAUCCUCUCUGUGACCGUUGCCAUCAGGCCCCGGCAGACUUAAUGCAUAUGUUUUGGACAUAUCCAUCGUUAAAUUCUUUUUGGCUAUCAAUCUUUAAUUGUUUUUCUUUAGUGACGAAGAAACAGAUUGAGCCUUGCCCAUUGGUAGCACUUUUUGGACUUUCAUCAAAUGUCACUGAUUUGCCUGGAAAAACUGCAAAGUCUUUUGCAUUUUUAACAUUAUUAGCUAGACGGCACAUUCUCCUGCUGUGGAAACAAAAACUCCCUCCAUCUUUCGAUGACUGGUUGAGAGAUGUCAUGAGUUUCUUUCAUUUGGAUAAAAUUAGGUAUACGUUAAGGGGCAACACUGGUAUGUUUUCUGAGAUCUGGAAUCCCUUCAUUAUUUAUUUUUCUGAAUAUAACUGUACUUCUGGAAUGUGUCAAAUUAAGCAUUAAGAUUUUAUUAUUUUUGUGACAUAAUGCUUGACAUUCUUUAUAUUACAGUAUGUAUUGUAUUUUUAUGUUUUUUAUGUUCUAUUUGGUUUAACUACAUUUUAAUUUAUUUUAUUUUAUUAUUUAAAUUUUUAUCAUAAUCUAUUAUUAUUAUUUACUUGUUUUAUUAUUAUUAUUAUUAUUAUUAUUAUUAUUAUUAUUUUUCCUAGGGGGUGGAAUGGGGUAUAAAUAAUAUAUAUGUAUUUUUUUCAGGAUUCUCCUGUAUCUUUAUCCUGUUAUUGCACAAGUUCAAAAACAGAUAAAAAAAAAAAAAGAAAAACCUUGGACCAACCACAGAUGAUUUUUUGUAAAAGAUUCCUUUUGUAGCUGAAGACCUACACAUGUGUUACUCCUUUACGUAAUUUCCUUACCAUCUAUUAAAAAGGAACAACUUAUGAAUAAUUUGCAUUGUAAACAUGGACCAAGCCAGACAUAGGGAAGUGAUUUGUAACCCGAUUGAAAUAUGUUCUUUAGUAUAAGAUAUAUAAGUUUGAAUAAAUAAUUUCAUAGUUUAAUAAAUAGAGUUUAAGGUUAAAAAAGUUA
ensembl:lncRNA